rnacentral:rRNA from 1 species
GGACCCGCACAAGCGGUGGAGCAUGUGGUUUAAUUCGAUGCAACGCGAAAAACCUUACCUACUCUUGACAUACUUGGGAGCUCUUGUAAUGAGAGUGUGCCUUAUGGAACCAAGAUACAGGUGCUGCAUGGCUGUCGUCAGCUCGUGUCGUGAGAUGUUCCGUUAAGUCGGAUAACGAGCGCAACCCUUACCCUUAUUUGCCAGCGAUUCGGUCGGGAACUAUAAGGGGACUGCCGGUGAUAAACCGGAGGAAGGUGAGGACGACGUCAAGUCAUCAUGGCCCUUACGAGUAGGGCUACACACGUGCUACAAUGGGAGGGACAAUGAGCUGCAACCCUGCGAAGGCUAGCC